rnacentral:rRNA from 5 species
ACGGGUGAGUAACACGUGGGUGAUCUGCCCUGCACUUUGGGAUAAGCCUGGGAAACUGGGUCUAAUACCGAAUAUGAUCACGGGCUUCAUGGUCUGUGGUGUAAAGCUUUUGCGGUGUGGGAUGGGCCCGCGGCCUAUCAGCUUGUUGGUGGGGUAAUGGCCUACCAAGGCGACGACGGGUAGCCGGCCUGAGAGGGUGACCGGCCACACUGGGACUGAGAUACGGCCCAGACUCCUACGGGAGGCAGCAGUGGGGAAUAUUGCACAAUGGGCGCAAGCCUGAUGCAGCGACGCCGCGUGAGGGAUGACGGCCUUCGGGUUGUAAACCUCUUUCAAUAGGGACGAAGCGCAAGUGACGGUACCUAUAGAAGAAGGACCGGCCAACUACGUGCCAGCAGCCGCGGUAAUACGUAGGGUCCGAGCGUUGUCCGGAAUUACUGGGCGUAAAGAGCUCGUAGGUGGUUUGUCGCGUUGUUCGUGAAAACUCACAGCUUAACUGUGGGCGUGCGGGCGAUACGGGCAGACUUGAGUACUGCAGGGGAGACUGGAAUUCCUGGUGUAGCGGUGGAAUGCGCAGA